rnacentral:tRNA from 1 species
GGAGAGGUCGCCUAGUCCGGUUUAGGGCGCCCGCCUGGAGAGCGGGUAGGGAGUGACCCUCCCUCGUGGGUUCAAAUCCCACCCUCUCCGCCC